GAUGAACGCUGGCGGCGUGCCUAAUACAUGCAAGUCGAGCGAACAGACGAGGAGCUUGCUCCUCUUACGUUAGCGGCGGACGGGUGAGUAACACGUGGAUAACCUACCUAUAAGACUGGGAUAACUUCGGGAAACCGGAGCUAAUACCGGAUAACAUGUUGAACCGCAUGGUUCAACAGUGAAAGACGGUUUUGCUGUCACUUAUAGAUGGAUCCGCGCCGCAUUAGCUAGUUGGUAAGGUAACGGCUUACCAAGGCAACUAUGCGUAGCCGACCUGAGAGGGUGAUCGGCCACACUGGAACUGAGACACGGUCCAGACUCCUACGGGAGGCAGCAGUAGGGAAUCUUCCGCAAUGGGCGAAAGCCUGACGGAGCAACGCCGCGUGAGUGAAGAAGGUCUUCGGAUCGUAAAACUCUGUUAGUAGGGAAGAACAAAUGUGUAAGUAACUAUGCACGUCUUGACGGUACCUAAUCAGAAAGCAACGGCUAACUACGUG
rnacentral:rRNA from 1 species